rnacentral:rRNA from 1 species
GGACCCGCACAAGCAGUGGAGUAUGUGGUUUAAUUCGAAGCAACGCGAAGAACCUUACCAGGUCUUGACAUCCAACUAACGAAGCAGAGAUGCAUCAGGUGCCCUUCGGGGAAAGUUGAGACAGGUGGUGCAUGGUUGUCGUCAGCUCGUGUCGUGAGAUGUUGGGUUAAGUCCCGCAACGAGCGCAACCCUUGACUUUAGUUGCCAGCAGGUUAAGCUGGGCACUCUAGAGUGACUGCCGGUGACAAACCGGAGGAAGGUGGGGAUGACGUCAAAUCAUCAUGCCCCUUAUGACCUGGGCUACACACGUACUACAAUGGCCGGUACAACGGGAAGCGAAGCCGCGAGGUGGAGCCAAACCCAGCAAAGCCGGUCUCAGUUCGGAUUGCAGGCUGCAACUCGCCUGCAUGAAGUCGGAAUUGCUAGUAAUCGCGGAUCAGCAUGCCGCGGUGAAUACGUUCCCGGGUCUUGUACACACCGCCCGUCACACCACGAGAGUUUACAACACCCGAAGUCGGUGGGGUAACCCGCAAGGGAGCCAGCCGCCGAAGGUGGGGUAGAUGAUUGGGGUGAAGUCGUAACAAGGUAGCCGUAUCGGAAGGUGCGGCU